rnacentral:rRNA from 1 species
CACGUAGGGUGCGAGCGUUGUCCGGAAUUAUUGGGCGUAAAGAGCUCGUAGGCGGUGUGUCGCGUCGGCCGUGAAAACCUGCAGCUUAACUGUGGGCUUGCGGUCGAUACGGGCAUCACUGGAGGUUCGGCAGGGGAGACUGGAAUUCCUGGUGUAGCGGUGAAAUGCGCAGAUAUCAGGAGGAACACCGGUGGCGAAGGCG